UUCAAAGGUGUGUGAUAAAACUUUAAACAGAUUAUAUAAUGUAAACAUAUAUCUGAAGAUAUUUUGUUUCUUAAACAUGAAUUACUUUUUUCACCUAGAAACACCAUUUUAACAUGUUUGUCAGUAAACUUUGGCAAUAAAAUUACAAAAAAUACAGUUUUGAUUUUGAGUUCAAUUUUAAUAAAAGUGACACUUUAAAUACAAUGAGCAGUAAUGCUAAAAUCCAAAGCAUAUUUCAAAAUUAUCAAAUAAAGAUUAUUUGGGAUAAAUGGAUUAUUAUAUAGCCAUUAUAUAUAAGACUAAUAUUUUCUUAAUAUUGAAAGUUUAAGUAGAACUUCAGUGUGGCUCAGAGGUCCAUUGCUAGAAAAAGACAGAAAACCAUGUACACACACACACACAGACACACACACACUCACACAAACACAAUACAUGUAAUAUCAUAUACUUUUGGAGAUUUUUAUGCAACAAUUACCAUUUGAAAACAAUAGAUGAAAUAAUGCAUAUAAAAUUUGUUGCAAAAUUCAAAAAGUAAAAUUUUUCUCUCUGAUUCUUUGUAAUUUCCAGGGAGAAUCAAAUUAGUAAUAUGAUUGAAGGCCUUCCAGUAUUAUCAACUGGCCACAGACUUUAUCUUGUACCUUAUGUAGAAUUCAUUUCUUGUUUAUCAUUUAUUUCUGUAUCAAGUAAAGAUUGUUUCAAAUUGUUACUCAAACAUGAAAAUCUUAAACAAAUAAACAACAACCACAAAUUCUUCCCUAAUGCAGUACAUCACACAACUAUGAAAAAAAGUUCCUGCUGCUGUAGAAGCCUAGUGAUUACGAAAGCCAAUCAGAAGGGGAGAUGGUGCUGCCUGAAGGCUACAUGAGCUUGUUUCAGUGUGACAGUCUACUUCCUGCAGCCUUCUGCUCAAGUUGUAGCCAGCACCAUAUUUACCUGCACACCGCCAUGCUCCCCAUCAUGAUCAUAAUGGACUGAACCUCUGAAACUGGUAGAUGUCAUGAUACAUGGACAUCACAGAGAAUAUCUACUAUCAAGCAAUAAAGACCAAGAUAGGUCCUGAACUAUGAUGGACACAUCAUGGAAAUGUCAAGACAGUUAUGACUAAAAUUCAUUGUGACUUGGAAUAAUGAAAUGCCUCUAAGAAAAGAGUCUUCCGCAAGGCAGUUCAGAUUGGAGACAAGCCCAAGAAAGACUUUGAUAUGCUAAAUAAAUAACCCUAAGGUGGCACUGAUACAUUUGUGAACCAGCUGUAAGAUGUGAGCCCUGAUAGUGCAAAGCUACCACACAAUGAGAUGAUUCAAAAAAUUGAAACUCCGGGAGUGGCUCCUAUAACCAGAUGGCCAUGCUCCUGAGACAGACACAGCAUCUCAGGAGUCUGCACUGAUAUCCAUGCACAAGAGGACUUUGUGGCCCUGGCUUCAGUGAUCAUUGAACUUCUGUUACUGUGGCUGAACUCACACCUGUCAGUGCUUGCUGCUGGCCGAUGCUCUCAAAGGCCUGCUGGACCUCCACCAGUGUCAUCCUCCUGGACCACAGCUAAAGAUCAUCAGGAUGCAGAUGGGUUGAGCCUACAGUUUCCAAAGCAUCCUCACAGAAGACUUCCCCAGUGGAAGCAACUGUCCCCUGCUUGCUGUGAUGUCUGUUUAUCUUUAAUUUUAGCAAGGUAUUAAAAGAAAUGGCUGUUUGAAUAAAGUGAGUAUAUUCAAAAGAAAUCAAGAGAAGGGAUAUCUGUAUUAUUUUGCAACUGUGAAGGGAAUUGUAACUAGAAACAUCAAUGGAUUUAAAAUCUAGCCACACUUUCAUUAGUCAUCAUUAUUUUAUAACCGGUAUCAUAUUGAAUUUGAAUGAUUCCUUUGUAUUUUUCUCAAUUCUUGUCUUUAAAAUCUUGAAAAUGACAUCUUAUACUUUCAUUUGAAUCACUGAGUGAGUAAACAUUUUAGCGAAGUGUUCUUUUUAACUCCCUUAGCUGAGCUAAUCCCACUGUCUUCCCUUUUUUUGUAAACUAUUUUCCCUAACAUAAAUUACUCUUCAUAAACACGUUUUUACUUCUGACUAAUCUAGCCACCUAUGUCACUUAUGUGGACAUCUGGAAAAUAUACAAUGUAUGCAACAGCAAGUGAGUGAGAAUGGACAUUAAAAUCUGCUUUAUAUGUAUCAACAACAUGCUAGCAAUGCUAGAGCAGUACACUAAUUAGACUUGAAUGAGGUCAUCAAAUCCUCAAAGUGAACAUUAGGAACACAAGCACACCUAAAUUCAGGAGCCACAAGAGGAUAGCUUAGACUAAUGACAGCAAUAAGUUCCAGUAUGGAACACUUGCCACCUCGGAUAGAGCAGGCACUCAUAAGAGAUAAAAUCGGGGGAUCAAAUCCCCUUUUUACAGGCUGCUCUCAAGACUUUCCCCAUGUAGAGUGGAAGAAUCUGUCUAUUGCCAAGCUUACCACUCUUAAGACUGAGUGCCUGCUGGCAGACUAUUGGACAGAAUGUGGACGUUGUUGCAUAAGGAUUAUGAGAACCUCUCUAGCAUUUUCUUGAAGAAGAUCUAGAUAUGUGUUUGUGCCAUAUGUACUUUCCACAAGUGCCAGAUUCUAGAAACAUAGAUAUCAACAGUGGUCCUUUUUACUAUAGACAUUCAUAGUCUAAUGUGAGAAAAGAAGAGUAGCAAGCUCUUCUGAAACAAUGAGCAUGAAUCUAUUAUAAUCUCUUCCCCAAUGUUUCUUCUGGAUGCUAUUCCUGCAGAAGUAAGGCUUAUGAAUAACAGGGAGACAUACAAAAUAUAUCCAUCAUUCUUUGUGAAUAUCUUGUGUGUUUCUAUAUUCUGUCUCCAAGAAGUAAACCUCUUUGUGGGAUCUUGUAAAGAAGAAAUUUCCUUAAAUAGGCAAAGUGUUCAUGAUUGCAGUAGGAAUGAGCAUUGGUUAGCAUUUACAUAUUACAAGUUCUAAAAUAUGACACAGCAGCAUAAGGAAGUAAAACUAAAGGGCAAUGCAGAAGAAUGCUGCUGUGAGAUCAUGCCUUCUAGAUAUGACAGGAACCUUCAAAGUGAUACCUCAGCAAUAUGGCAACUUAAACAAGAUAGGAACGCUGACAAUAACAGCUGACAGGCCAGCAUGAAUGAUGGAAAACUCAUGAGAGACCCCACCCUUCAAUGAAUAAUGCCAGGACAGCUGUUGAGAGAGGGAGAAUUGGUCUUCAUAGCAAGUGAACCCCCUAAAUGAAUUUUCAAUACCAAAUGGUCAGCCCUAAAAACAUAUGUGUUCAGGCAACAUUAAUAAAAUCUCCAGGUUGUAAUGAUAUAUUUAUUCACGUGUGUGUGGGUAAAAUGUUCCUCAUAUAAUCUUGUAUUUGAACACUUUUUGGUCCUGUUUGGUGAGUUUAUGAACCCUUGAAGACCUUUGGCAUAGCUGGAGACCAUGAGACACUGGGAGGUGAGACAGGUUUUCUAGCAGUGCCUGCUUCCUGUCUCACCAUCCUGUCUCACCACAGCCUGUUCUACCAAGACAGAAGUGCUCACCCUGAAUGCCCACAGCUAUGAAUUCUGUCAUACCUCACCCAUCAUUUUACUUCCCUGUCAGUUCCCGAGGCAAAAUAAAUCAUCUCUCCUGUCAUGCGGCUUCUUGUCAGGUAGGGUGAUCAUACCAAUAGGGGGAGUAUUACAGUUGAAUGAGAUAUUUCUUAAGAAAUAAAAAUUUGUGUUCAUUUUCCUAAUAUCUUAGUGGUUCCUAAUAAGAAUUUCAACAUGUAAAGUAAUCUGGCCAUCAGUGCUGUUGACCUCAGAGCAUCAAAAUUCUCCAACCUGAAAUCCUCUGUUUACUAAAUACAUCCCCACUGGCUCCUGCCUGUGUCUUUUCUUAAACCAUUCAUUUCAUAUCUUAGUUUUCUCUGUCCCCAGAGAAAAACCAAAAACCAAUCCUUUCACAGCUUCAGAAAGAGCCUCUUGUCAUGAUUCAUAGAUAAAUAUACCAAGAUUUGCAAAUAUUACAGCUUUGACUAUAGUUUUUCUAUUCCAUAUAUAAUAGAGUUAUUUGCUUAAGAUUUUUUAAGUUUUACUGACUUUUGUGAUCCAGAUUCUCAGGAGAAGAAUUGACACAGAUUUUAUGAAAUCCAGAAGAAGUUCCUAAGCUUAUUGAGGACCAGGUUUAUAAAUAUAGAUUAACAUUCAUAAGCUAAACAGGUUCACAACAAACAAUAUCUACAUGCUAUUUCAUUGAUUGCUGGGUAAAGUUAAUGUUGGUAUCUUUUGCCUAUUGCAGGAAAAUAAGUUGAUAACAUUUCCAAAACAUUCCUAAAAUUAAAAUAUAUGACUAAUUAGUGAUUUCAAAAGUUUUCUGUUCUAUAUGACAGAUUUAUAAAUAUGCAAAGAUUGAUAUUUGUGAAAAAAUGAAUGCUUCCAUAAUGUGCUGUUUCAGAGACAUUGUAAAUAUAUGUUACAUUCAUUUCAUGAGUUAUUAAUAUGUAAUUAAUAUAUGAAGAUUAGGAGCUUUGGACAACUACAAUAUUUUCUAGUUACAAUGAAAAAUAUUCAACUCAUUUACUAACAUAAGAUACAGAUGUGUAAGUCCAUUUUAUCUUGAAUAUUACAUUGUGUUAACUAGUAAUUCAUUUCAUGUGAAAGCUAAAUAAAAACAAAUUCAUUACAAGUCAACCAAUUACUCUCAUAAGCACUUUUAGCAUUAUUCAUAUUGUAACAAACACUGCAUUUUUUCAUCUGUUAAAAAAGGUGCUUGGACUAAUGAGCUUAUUUCUUGCCUGUUUUACUCCUGUAUGAUAUUAUAGAUUUCAGUAAGCUAAUUUGCUCCAUUUCCAUGCAGAGAGAAUCAGAUCAGAUAAAUCACAGUCUAAAUCACAGCAUUCUUUGUUCGUGUUAUGUCCUCGGUGGAAGCACAUGAAUAUAUGUGAUGGCAAACUCAACUCACAUACGUGCAGUCGUUAUUAGUGUGAGAAAAAAGACCUUUAUGUCCAAUUAAGGUGGAAAACAUGCUUUACAGAAAAGUUAGCCCCUUUUAAAUACAGUGUCUUAUUUGGAAUUUUAUUGCUGUGAAAAAACACCAUAGCCAGAGCAAAUCUCAUAAAGGAAAACUUUUUCUGGGGCUGGAUUACUGGUCAGAGGCUUAGUUCAUUAUCAUCAUGGUGGAAAGCAUGGUAGCACAUGGGCAGACAUAGUGUUGGAGAGGUAGCUGAGAGUUCUAUCUCUGAAUCCCAAGACAGCAGGAAGAGGGAAAACCUGGGUCUGGCUUGAACAUCUGAAACCCGCAAAGCAUACCCCCAGUGACACAUUUCCUUCCACAAAGUCAACCCUACUCCAUCAAGGCCACACUUCCUAAUAGUUACACUCCAUGUUGACCAAGCAUUCAAAUAUAUGAGUCUAUGGGGAUGACUCUCAUCCAAACCAUCUCAUGAGAGUUCUGUGUAUACCUGACAAACUGAUUUGGUAGCUUACUAGCUGAUGUUUGCAAAAUCUGCUGUUCCCUUCUCACACUGUAAUGCAAAGUUCUUGUCUUCUCACCAGAACUGCUACCUGAGUGUGAUGAGGCUGUUCUGCUACCGGCCUGGAGAAAACACUUGGAAGUGCACACAAAUGAUAACCAUUUAUGAGAAAACCAUACUUGACCGUAUAGUAAUUGUUGGACCUGUGGACAUCAUCCAGUGUCUACUUACUUUCUUAUUGACGAGAAUUUAAUAAACAAUAAAAAUUUUAAGUACAUAUAUUACGUCUUAUUUCCCAUCAUAUCAUAUUUUCUGAACACCAUUUGUUUCUCCAGGUUAUCAACUGAACAAAGGUCAAACCUCACUGACAUCAAAGACUACGGCCACCAUCAAAUGUUGUUGUAAAUUAUAUUUUUAUUAUUAUGUAAUUAUUUACUUAAAUUCUUUCCGGUUUGGUGAUCUGUGGUUUUAGUAAUUUAUCACAGAUAUUAUGCAACCUGUAACUGUCAUUUCCAAAAAUUUAACUUACAUAUGACAUUGUUGUUUAUCUGGUCCUACAAUACAAUGUUCCUACAAACUAAAUACUUUCUCUUAACAUUACUAUCUGCUUGGGAAGGUAAGUCUUCAAAGGUGAAAUGACUUGCGCUCCUUAAUAUGUUAGUGGUAAAACAUUAGGCUGGCUUUAACUUUUAUUUGUGUUUCUCUUGACAUUUUCUUUACAGUUUGAGUUGCUGAAAAGGAAAAUAAAUAUCUUCCAACAAGACAUGGCUGAUUUUUACAUACUUAGCUGAUUUUUACAUCUGGAAGUCAUGCUUCCUCCAUGAAAAGGAAUGUAAGCAAACAUGGAAGGAAAGGUUGAAAAAUCUUAUUUCAUUUGGCUGCCUUUCAAAUGCUCCACAAACUCUAAUCAUAUUUUGCUCUGGCCAUAAUUUUGCUUUAAGGUUCAUUCCAGUCUGUUAUUUACAUAAAGAUGGCAUUAUGAUUAUGUUUUAUAAAAUCAUUAGUGAUAAGACACACUUAUUUUUUUAAUUUUUAUCUUUUUAUUGACUAACAAACUGUGCUGCCUUUAGUAUUUAUAUGCAAAAAGGGGGAUUCAAAGUUGAGCAAGUUUAGAUUUUAUAUGGAUGUAAAUAACUCUAAUUAGCAUUUUGAUAAAAAAUUACUGUUUGGUACAAUUGAUUCUUUCAGCUUUCACCCCUCUGAAUUUAAAUAAACAAGAUUUUUUUUGUCACAAACGUAUUUUUAAGAACAUCAGUAAAUGUAUAUGACUUAGUGUUUGAUUUGUUUCUGUAUAGUAUGAAAAAUAGCUGAAAAUUUUAC